rnacentral:lncRNA from 1 species
UCUUGAUGCUUGCGGUUGCGGCGACUUGUUUAAUCUCCGGGAUACUGAGUGAGACGCGAUUGGCAGGGUUCAGGACCUUAAUCAAAUGUUGGAGUCAAUCCGCCUUCCAUUUACUCCGAUAUCUCGGGACAUCUUCUUUUUUCUUUUUCUUUUUCUUCUUUGAUUCCGAACUGGGACUCAUCUCGUGGGUUAUUUCGAUCCAUGUGGCUCGAGGUCAGACCUACGGGAGAAAACAAACGAACGAAAUUUUCUGCCCCAGUUUCACUAGGAAAAUUUCGUUAAUUAUUCGCCAGGAAGUUCAUAAAAUUGAUGAAAGAGGAUAUGCAUGCUCAGUUCAGGGUUGAAGCCCUAAUACCGACUAGCUGGGGAAAGGUUCAGUUUAGGGUUUAAAACCCUAACGCCGAACAAAGAAAGAAUUCAGUUUAGGGUUUAAAACCCUAAUACUGACUAAAGGAAAAGGUUAAGUUUAGGGUUUAAAACCCUAAUGCUGAUUUAUGGAAAAGCUCAGUUUAGGGUUUAGAAACGCUAAUGCUGACUGGAAGCAAAAGCUCAGUUUAGGGUUUAAAACCCUAAUGCUGGAUAAAGGAAAAAGUUCAGUUUAGGGUUUAAAACCCUAAUGCUGACUAAAAGAAAAAAUUCAGUUUAGGGUUUAAAACCCUAAUGCUGGCUGCAUGGAAAAGCUCAGUUUAGGGUUUAAAACCCUAAUGCUGGCGGAAAGGAAAAAGUUCAGUUUAGGGUUUAAAACCCUAAUGCUGGCUGAAAGGAAAAAGUUCAGUUUUGGGUUUAAAACCCUAAUGCUGACUAAAAGGAAAAUUCAGUUUAGGGUUUAAAACCCUAAUGCUGAUUGCAUGGAAAAGCUCAGUUUAGGGUUUAAAACCCUAAUGCUGGCUGAAAGGAAAAAGUUCAGUUUAGGGUUUAAAACCCUAAUGCUGACUAAAAGGAAAAGGUUAAGUUUAGGGUUUAAAACCCUAAUGCUGAUUGCAUGGAAAAACUCAGUUUAGGGUUUAAAACCCUAAUGCUGGCUGAAAGGAAAAUGCUCAGUUUAGGGUUUAAAACCCUAAUGCUGACUAAAAGGAAAAUUCAGUUUAGGGUUUAAAACCCUAAUGCUGAUUGCAUGGAAAAGCUCAGUUUAGGGUUUAAAACCCUAAUGCCGGCUGAAAGGAAAAAGCUCAGUUUAGGGUUUAAAACCCUAAUGCUGGCUGCAUGGAAAAGCUCAGUUUAGGGUUUA